GCGAUACCCGAAUGGGGAAACCCAGUGUGACUCGUCACACUAUCAUUAACUGAAUCCAUAGGUUAAUGAGGCGAACCGGGGGAACUGAAACAUCUAAGUACCCCGAGGAAAAGAAAUCAACCGAGAUUCCCCCAGUAGCGGCGAGCGAACGGGGAGGAGCCCAGAGCCUGAAUCAGCAUGUGUGUUAGUGGAAGCGUCUGGAAAGGCGCGCGAUACAGGGUGACAGCCCCGUACACAAAAGCGCAUGUGCUGUGAGCUCGAUGAGUAGGGCGGGACACGUGGUAUCCUGUCUGAAUAUGGGGGGACCAUCCUCCAAGGCUAAAUACUCCUGACUGACCGAUAGUGAACCAGUACCGUGAGGGAAAGGCGAAAAGAACCCCGGCGAGGGGAGUGAAAAAGAACCUGAAACCGUGUACGUACAAGCAGUGGGAGCCCCACCACUAAGCCAGUGGUGAACUCCACAUACGCAUCCUUUGCUGAGGAUACGGUUAACGGAGCGAAAGCGACGUUCAACCUCAAAAGAAGCAGAGGGGGCUUAGUGGUGGGGUGACUGCGUACCUUUUGUAUAAUGGGUCAGCGACUUAUAUUCUGUAGCAAGGUUAACCGAAUAGGGGAGCCGGAGGGAAACCGAGUCUUAAUUGGGCGUUAAGUUGCAGGGUAUAGACCCGAAACCCGGUGAUCUAGCCAUGGGCAGGUUGAAGGUUGGGUAACACUAACUGGAGGACCGAACCGACUAAUGUUGAAAAAUUAGCGGAUGACCUGUGGCUGGGGGUGAAAGGCCAAUCAAACCGGGAGAUAGCUGGUUCUCCCCGAAAGCUAUUUAGGUAGCGCCUCGUGAAUUCAUCUCCGGGGGUAGAGCACUGUUUCGGCUAGGGGGCCAUCCCGGCUUACCAACCCGAUGCAAACUGCGAAUACCGGAGAAUGUUAUCACGGGAGACACACGGCGGGUGCUAACGUCCGUCGUGAAGAGGGAAACAACCCAGACCGCCAGCUAAGGUCCCAAAGUCAUGGUUAAGUGGGAAACGAUGUGGGAAGGCCCAGACAGCCAGGAUGUUGGCUUAGAAGCAGCCAUCAUUUAAAGAAAGCGUAAUAGCUCACUGGUCGAGUCGGCCUGCGCGGAAGAUGUAACGGGGCUAAACCAU
rnacentral:rRNA from 1 species